AGAGCUGGGGGGAACACACCGCUGUUUGGAAAACCGAACGUCUAAUUGCGCAUACAUGAGGAAUCGCAUGAUUCCCUAUUAGAAACGGAAGGCAUUGGCUCACCUACUUGAUGGAAUCCCGCGCGUUGUAAUAAGGCUAGGUUGGUAGGUGUAAAGGACCUAACCAAAGGGCAAUGAUAACAAUAGGCCGACCUGAGAGAGGGUGGAUCGGCCACCAACUGGGAAUUGAGACAACGGCCCAAGACUCCUACGGGAGGCAGCAGUAGGGAAUCUUCGGCAAUGGGGGCAACCCUUGACCGAGCAACGCCGCGUGAGUGAAGAAGGGUUUUCGGAUCGUAAAACUCUGUGUUAGAGAAGAACGUUAAGUAGAGUGGAAAAUUACUUUAAGUGACGGUAUCUAACCAGAAAGGGACGGCUAAACUACGUGCCAGCAGCCGCGGUAAUACGUAGGUCCCAAGCGUUGUCCGGAUUUAUUGGGCGUAAAGCGAGCGCAGGUGGUUUCUUAAGUCUGAUGUAAAAGGCAGUGGCUCAACCAUUGUGUGCAUUGGAAACUGGGAGACUUGAGUGCAGGAGAGGAGAGUGGAAUUCCAUGUGUAGCGGUGAAAUGCGUAGAUAUAUGGAGGAACACCGGAGGCGAAAGCGGCUCUCUGGCCUGUAACUGACACUGAGGCUCGAAAGCGUGGGGAGCAAACAGGAUUAGAUACCCUGGUAGUCCACGCCGUAAACGAUGAGUGCUAGCUGUAGGGAGCUAUAAGUUCUCUGUAGCGCAGCUAACGCAUUAAGCACUCCGCCUGGGGAGUACGACCGCAAGGUUGAAACUCAAAGGAAUUGACGGGGGCCCGCACAAGCGGUGGAGCAUGUGGUUUAAUUCGAAGCAACGCGAAGAACCUUACCAGGUCUUGACAUACUCGUGCUAUCCUUAGAGAUAAGGAGUUCCUUCGGGACACGGGAUACAGGUGGUGCAUGGUUGUCGUCAGCUCGUGUCGUGAGAUGUUGGGUUAAGUCCCGCAACGAGCGCAACCCUUAUUACUAGUUGCCAUCAUUAAGUUGGGCACUCUAGUGAGACUGCCGGUGAUAAACCGGAGGAAGGUGGGGAUGACGUCAAAUCAUCAUGCCCCUUAUGACCUGGGCUACACACGUGCUACAAUGGAUGGUACAACGAGUCGCCAACCCGCGAGGGUGCGCUAAUCUCUUAAAACCAUUCUCAGUUCGGAUUGCAGGCUGCAACUCGCCUGCAUGAAGUCGGAAUCGCUAGUAAUCGCUGACCAGCCUAGCCCCCAAGCCCCCCC
rnacentral:rRNA from 1 species